UUAAUUGAAACCAAAAAGAGGUAUAUUACUGUUAAUAAUAAAAUUGAAUAAAUAUUCCAAUUAAG
rnacentral:tRNA from 1 species